GAAAAGUAGGAGGUGAAAGAUAAAUAGAGAAAUUAAGCAAACAUAUUUAGAACUUUUGGAGGAAGUUUAGUUUUACUAAAAAUAGUCAUUCAUCAUUAUUAUUAUUCUGUUAAAAUUAUGAGCAACGAGAGAUAUUUGUAUAUUCUCACUGAUGAGGUCCAAAGCUGAGAGAGAUGGAUUGUGCCCAGCAUUUCAGUGGUAGCCAUGAGGAAAGCAAUGAUGAUUUAGGCAACAGAAAAAUAUGUUAAUUAAUUCAAGGGAAAUAUGGGCAGUGCUUUCAACAAAGGUUAACGUAAGGAAGGAAGCAGUCACCUUCGUUUGGCUCCAGAUUAUGGAAGGCCCUGGAGGUCAGAUUGAAUUCUAUUUUGGUUCUUAAAGGCUAUUUGAACAUCUGCCAUGUGAAUUGGUUUUAUUUUAGGGGAUAUUGGGAUAAAACAAUAAGGAUAAAGUGCAAGUUGCAUCCUCAAGGAUAUUUUAAUCCAAAAGGAUAUGUGGAGAGAAAUGGGAAACUGGUGCAUAUAUGCACUUUCCUCAUAUGCAUAAAAAUGAAGAACAGAAAUAUGUGGAAAGCCACACAUACAGGCAGAGAGAAAGGGAGAAACCAAAUGGCCUAUCCAGACACUAGGCUUCUGUGUGGACUCUAUGCCUUCAGCUCUUUUUGCAGAUGGCGUCAAUUGACGAAAACUGCUUCACUCAAAGUCAUGUCCCUUCCAGAGGCAGCUCAUGUCUAGUAACUUAUUGACAAAGGGUAUAAACACCUGGCUCCCUUGUUCCAACUUAGGACAAUUCAGAAGGGCCCUCCUGCCUCCAGAGUUCCUCGUGGGGUGGGUGGAACCCCUCCUCCUCCCUCUGCCCAGUCCUGUCUCCUUCCCCAUGCUUCCACGGUGUUGGUCUCAAGAGCCCUCCCUAUUAAACACCCUGCAUGCCGGUCUCCAUCUCACCAUCCUCCUUCUGGGAAACUCAACCUAUGAUAGCUUUUCAGGUCUCUUUAUGGCACGGCCCUUCUUUCCCGUGACUCUGCUUCUCUCUGACUUUCUUUCCGUCUGCCAUUCUCUUUGUUUAUCUGUCCUUUUCCUGUCCAUUCACUCUUCUCUUUUUGUCA
rnacentral:lncRNA from 1 species